rnacentral:rRNA from 1 species
UGCGGAGGGAGCUAGCGUUGUUCGGAAUUACUGGGCGUAAAGCGCACGUAGGCGGCUUUGUAAGUUAGAGGUGAAAGCCCGGGGCUCAACUCCGGAACUGCCUUUAAGACUGCAUCGCUUGAAUCCAGGAGAGGUGAGUGGAAUUCCGAGUGUAGAGGUGAAAUUCGUAGAUAUUCGGAAGAACACCAGUGGCGAAGGCGGCUCACUGGACUGGUAUUGACGCUGAGGUGCGAAAGCGUGGGGAGCAAACAGG